GCUUUCCAAGCCAUGCAGAAGCUCUAAACCAUAGAUCUACUCUUUUAUAAGCCAUCCAUCACGUAAAGUGGCAAAAUUUACGUGGAUCCAAGGAGAUCUAGGCAUUUUACUCUCUAGGGCUAGGGUUUGGGACAAAAGAGCUUCACCAAACACUCAUGAACAAGGACUUUAAUGCACUCUAGACCUUCUCCAUUCCAGAUUUGAGGUAGCAACCUCAGAUUUAACCUUCAAACUCGAAAUACCACAAGCUAAACUUUGCACACAUUCCAAAAUGAUGAAUCUAGAUGAAUAACAGCCCAAGAAACGAAGUAAUACCUCAAAAGGAAGCCCCAACAGAAGAGAAAUCCGAAUCUUAGCAAAGCCCCUUGCUCCAAGCCUCCUAACUCUCCAAGAUCUCCUCCAAAAUCUCUUCUCCAAGGUUCAAAUGCACUCAAAUCCCUCACAAUCGCGUCUUAGGGUUUUCUGGACUUCAAGAGAGGGUAAAGAGGCUAGGAAGAGGGUAUGAUAUCCUUUAUAUAGGGCUCAUCCCCCGAAAUUAGGGUUUUCUCCACUCAGCACCAACUCGCCGAGUCCAUCCAUGCUACUCGCCGAGUUGGUCACUUAACACGCGACCAGAGUCGUGACCCUACUCGCCGAGUCCACUCGUGGACUCGUCGAGUUGCCCUUUCCCAUUUACACUUUUAGCCCUUUAACUCUACUCUUGAUAUCCCGGAAUGUUACAAUUCUCCCCCACUUAAAUUAGGCUUCGUCCUCGAAGCCUGCAGCAACACAUCUCCUAGACUACUCUCUCAAUGCACCACCUGGCAUUGACCAAAUCAGGUUCCUCAAAGCACAACCACCGAAACCCAUACCCUAAUUUUUUUCUUCCCAUAGUGUUCUGAUCACCGCCUCAAGCCGGCCACCGGACUCACCCUCUGAUAACCACAAUUAUCAACCGGGUACCACUCCAUGAUACCUCACUCACUCCAAAUCACCACAAUCACUCGACUCAUACGAGCUAGAAAUAACCAUGAACCACCGAAAUUCCCGGCCUGAGUCCAACUUUAUCCCCUCCAUGCUGACUGGAUGACGCAUCCUUCAGCCUCAGAGCAACUCCCAUGAGUUCUCCACCGCAGUCUAAUACCCAUGCUGAACUGGCUCUAGCAUCUUCGGGUUGGGAAAACCCAAUACACUGACGACACCUGCAAACAUCCCCCCCAGGAUGAAUUUCUACCGCAUACAUAAAUCCUUGAUCAAAAUCAAACUGGAAAUCCAAGAUUCCAUCCUUGCAUUCCUUCCGAGCCUUUUGGCUCUACACCCACGGAAAUUUCUUCCGUGACCUCAGCGACUAUUCCACCAGGAUGUGAUUCCAUACCAUAGCCGCAGACACACUGCUCAUCAACCAUGAUUGGAACACCCUAAUCAUAACUCUGCACUACUGCUUUCACUUCCGUGAACUUAUACUCCCUCUCAGAGCUACAUUCCUUUCCCUUCCCUUAUCAAGGAAAUCCACUUGGCUGCCUUGUCACUAUGACAAGUGCCACGAUGUUCACCCAAUACUCCACCAUUCUCUUAUAGCAUAACCGCUAUCCCAUGCACCACACAUGCUCUGGAUCCGCUCGCAAGGACUCUCAAGUCCAUGCUCUACCUUCCACUCACCACGAUCAAUACCGGGGCUAGACCUUCUGACGCUAACACAUCGCGACAUACUCAAUCCAUUUCCUUUUACCGAUCUCUCAACACAAACAGAGUCUUCAGCAUGACUGGACCGCCUUUCCAGGCCUUCAGCCCAUCUGGAUCACUCUCGGAACCUUCAGCAGGUCUGGACUGCCCUCCAGGGCCUUCAGCCUGUCUGGACCGUUCUCCGAGCCUUCGGCUUGACUGGUACAUCCACCGGCCUUCAGUCUACCCGGACCGCUCAACCAGCAUCCAACAUCCCGAAUUAUCCCUCCAGGAAAACUCUCCCAUGCAUAUUGUUCUAUCCCUCUAGGGGUCCGAACUCUAUCUCCACCCUACAUACUCAAUCCCGGCCCGAUCCCAGGCCUUCCACAAACAAUCACCCUUGGUCUGUAUCCUGCUCCACAUACCUGUCACUUACUCAUACCAGCCUAUACUCUUGGCUGACAGAACCACUGCUGAAUCCCAAGCAGCUAAGCAACCUCUCAUGCCCAUCGACCUUUCGGAGAAUUUUCCAAUUCUCCACCACUUAGAGCACUGACUAUCAACCACCGGUCGCCAUCACCGACCUACCUCAACAACCCUACACAACACAAACGCUUACACGCGAGCUGAUUCCCACUAGAGCGAGCAACCUUCACAAAAUCACAUAUCAAAACAAUUCAUCUCGGCUCGAAAGAAACCCGACCUUCAGCAACCACUCCUUAGACUGCAGAUGAUACCCGACAUUCGGACUAAAAGCCAAAUUCCUCACUAAUAACCCUCAUGAACGAUAACCAAUGAAAUUCCCAACACCAAACCCUUAACCAUACCAUAAUCCUCAAGGAACAACGAAUAUAAUACCAGAAACCACACAACGAGACUAACAGAUAUACAAUACUCCACAAUAAUCAUAAGAUAACAAGACAUCAAGAAAGAAACAUACCCGCAGCUGCAUCCGGUACUGCCCUGACCUGCUCUGCUGUGAGCUGAAAAGCACGACCCUGAGCCCUUGGGGGCUCCGCUCCACCCUGAUCCCUGCCUGUGAUCCUCAAUGUGGCCGGUGCUAGAGCCUGCACCGGUCCUGCAGCAAGCUGUGGACAGUUGACCCUCAAGUGUCCAACCUGAUGACAAUGAUAACAAAUCCUCAAAUCUCAACCCGGGGCUGCCUGCCGACAAUCCCUCGCAUAGUGCCCCUCCUUUUCGCAUUUGCGGCAUGCACCACCGGACCUACAAACCCCGGUGUGACCCUUCCCACACUUCCCACAAGUGUGGCUGCUCUGAUCUCCCAAUCUAGAAUCAAUGGUCUUGGACCGUUUCGGCGCCGACUGCGACUGCACCGAAGCCUGCCUCUGCUCUCGUAACUGUAACUCAAUCUCCAACUCACGCCGCCUGGCGACCUCCUGCAACUCUAACAAGGUCUCGCACCUCUGCAUAGAUACAAACUGCCUGAUAUCCCUAUUGAGCAUACUCAGAUAUCGGGUCAUCUGAGCCUGCUCCGAAGCAAACUCGGGGCAAAACAUCGCUUUCUCAGUGAACAUCAUGGUGAUCUCCGUCACCGACUCCGAAUCCUGCUUCAGCUCCAGGAACUCCUGAGCCAACCUCUCUCUCUCAACCCGUGGCACAUAACGAGUACUGAACAUCUCCCGGAGCUGAUCCCAUGAAAGCGCAGCUCUCUGUGCAUCCGAAUACGACCCCAUGGUCAAUCUCCACCAAAUCCUUCGCCCCGAGCCUUAACAGGUUCAGAGCACACCUCACCCUCUGAUCAGUAGGGCAUGAACACGUGAAGAAACACCCCUCCACAUCCGACAACCAUCUCAUAGCAACAAUCGGGUCUUGAACCCCGUCGAAGGUAGGAGGCUUCGUAUUAUCGAAGUCCUGAUACUAAAAACCCCGACCAGCUCCUCCCCCUACCGCUGCUACAGCCGCUGUAGCCGCNCCGUCUCUGUGAGGGCCGCAUAACGCUCAUCAAAAUACUCAACCAUGGCGGUCUUGAUCGACCCAAACAGCUCCAGCAACUCAGCCCGAAACAACGCAACAACCUCAUCAUGCAGGAUCUCACGAAUCCUCGCAUCCAACUCGCACGUGUUCACCUGACCAAUAACCUCGGGCGGUACCGACCCGCCCUGAACUCUCUCUCCUGCUCCUGAUCCUGAACUGGAUCCACUCCCAGCAUGCCUCGGAACCUCCAUACUGAAAAACACCACAAGAUCUCAGACACUUCCCACAAACCUAGGAACCAACUCCCAAUCCAACCCUAGAGGUCAUGGUUUCUUUGAUACGCGUAUGGGUCCUGUGCUUUCAGUAGUAUGGGCCCAUACUACUUUCCACACCUACCCAUAUUUGUAUUAAGUACUACCACAACACCCUAGUUAAGAACAUACAUAGCAAGCACUCAAUCCUCACUCCUAGAGGAACACUGGAAAUCUCCCACAAAGGAAACCCUAGACUAACAGGCAUCAUAAAUCAGGCAACAUUAUCAUGAAAUCCUGAAGAUCCCUAGCCUAGUACUAGCAUGCUGUUCUAUCAAAGCUCAAAACAAAUAUCAUUUAUGGUAUUUUGGGGUUACUUACUGGCUCCGGCUGAUCGUACCUCCGCGUCCUCCUUUACUCAUUUUGAAAACCAUUUUAAAUUAUCUCUUAAAAAAAACUCUCCCUGAUUUGAGACUGGAUUCACACGAAUGUUUCUCCAAUUCACUCAAACCAAGGCUCUGAUACCAACUUGUAACGACCAUAAAAUUCCAGCUAAUUUAAACUUUUCAAAAACAACCCGAUUUCAUAAUAUUAUUACAAAAAUGUUUUCAAUACAAUUAUUUCAGAGUAAUCCCAGAAUCACAUCACAAAACAUAAUCAUGAGGAGCGGUACGAUCACGCCUUUGCCUUGCCACGGUCUCCCGAAGAACCUGAAAAACAUUAAACCAUAACUGUAAGCCCGAAAGCUUAGUGAGAUAUCCCCAAAAUACCAACCACAUAUACCAUACACGCAUAAUAUGCCAUAUCAUAACAGAACACAGAACAGUCAUGCACUUCGGGUCUACUGUGUGACUGGUCAAUCGCACUGGCCAACAGUCCACCUGGUCCACCCUCCGAGUCUAGCCAUAUACAUCGAGUCUGCAGUGUGAUUGGUCCGCCCACACCAGGCCUUCAAUCCACCUGGUCCACUCUCUGAGUCNCACCGGGCCUUCAGUCGGCCUGGUCAACUCUCCGAGCCUCGGCACGUCUGGUCCACCCUCUUGGGACCUACAGCCUAUCCGGACCGCUCGCUGGGCCUUCGGGAUAACCGGUCCGCCCUGGGUAUGUUGGCCUACAGCACAAAGCAGGUCCCGCCUCAACCCAACCCCAGUCCAACAACCAUGUGCACAUAAACAUUCAAUCAUAUAACAUAUCACAUCCAAUCAAACCGAUCUAACAGAUCACAUAGCAUAACAUUAUCCUAACCAGGAUACCGACCUAACCGGUCACUAGCAUAGCAUCAUCCUAUAUACCAGGAUACCGACCUUAGCCAGGUCUUUAACAUGUAUCAUCCUAACUACCAGGAUGCAAACAUAAGAAAGCAUUAACAUAACAACAAUACCCAGAUUACAAUCCGAUAAGGGUCGGCCUUGGUGCCUUAGACCCCGUUGAUAUAGUGAGGAUAACUCACCUCGCAACUGCCGACUGAACAGAUAAACCCAAGCUGCUCUGACCACUGAUACGAUCUCCAACACUGGCCAACACCAAAACUCUGAACUCAAAACAAAAGCCAACAAUUACCAAAAUGCCCUUGGAAAUCAACUGGUCAACCCUUGGUCAAAGUCAAAGUCAAAGUCAACCCCUGACUGACUCUACUCGCCGAGUCAACCCGAUGACUCGCCGAGUCCCCAUGCACAGAACUUCCCCAAUCCGCGACUCAACUCGCCGAGUCACCCCGAGACUCGCCGAGUCCAACAAAUCUGAGUCCUUUCACACUCAACUCACCUUGUCAUCCCUUGACUCACCGAUUCACAGCUCAACCAGAAGAAAGGUUAGGACCUCAUGACCAGACUCGCUGAGUCCAAGAACAGACUCGCCGAGUCCAAAGUUAUCUGCAACCAACUCGCCGAGUUGUUCUUCCAACUCGUCGAGUUCCAGCCUAUCUUCAAGCAACUCGCCGAGUACACCCUUGUGACUCGCCGAGUACCCCUAGAUCUGAAACCAUACAGAGGCUUUCCAAGCCAUGCAGAAGCUCUAAACCAUAGAUCUACUCUUUUACAAGCCAUCCAUCACGUAAAGUGGCAAACUUUACGUGAAUCCAAGUAGAUCUAAGCAUGUUACACUCUAGGGUUUGGGUUUGGGACAAAAGAACUUCACCAACAACUCUUGAGCAUAGACUUUAUGGCUUUCUGGAUCAUUAGNCCAUUCCAUAUUUGAGGUAGCAACCUCAGAUCUAAC
rnacentral:lncRNA from 1 species